AUUAGCCAAUUGUAUAGGUUGAUUACAACUUUGUACCAAUCUGUAAAGUUAACGUGAGUCUGACUGAGUUGGUUGAACACACCUCUUCUGAAAUACUAUAAAAAAUGUACCCACUUGCACCUCUUGUUCCUUACCUCUUGCUCCUUAACUUAACUGGCCCCUCGCUCUCUACCCUGUGCCUCUUUUGCUCGAUACCCUGAUCGCUGAUCACACACGCACACACACGCGGCAUUCGCAUCGCAAACAACCAGCUCAAGACUGCACCGUUCCGGACAAGGGCCCGAUCCUUACGAGCCCCGGGAGUCAGCAUUCAGCUUGACCGGACCCGUGGAGCCUCGGACAACGUGCCUUAAAAUCCAUAAAGACUUUGAAACUUCUCUGAACUGCAUUUGGGACAUCAUUCUGUAUAUUAAAUCUCAACUACGAACCAAGAAUCUACGCGGGAUAAUUACAAAUGAGUUUGGGGAAGGGGAUUUUUAGUGUAUAAUAUUAAAUUACUUAUACCUUUUUUACAAAA